rnacentral:rRNA from 1 species
GACGAACGCUGGCGGCGUGCUCAACACAUGCAAGUCGAACGCUGAAGCUUGGUGCUUGCACUGGGUGGAUGAGUGGCGAACGGGUGAGUAAUACGUGAGUAACCUGCCCUUGACUCUGGGAUAAGCCUGGGAAACUGGGUCUAAUACUGGAUACGACAUGCCACUGCAUGGUGGUGUGUGGAAAGGGUUUUACUGGUUUUGGAUGGGCUCACGGCCUAUCAGCUUGUUGGUGGGGUAAUGGCCUACCAAGGCGACGACGGGUAGCCGGCCUGAGAGGGUGACCGGCCACACUGGGACUGAGACACGGCCCAGACUCCUACGGGAGGCAGCAGUGGGGAAUAUUGCACAAUGGGCGGAAGCCUGAUGCAGCGACGCCGCGUGAGGGAUAACGGCCUUCGGGUUGUAAACCUCUUUCAGCACGGAAGAAGCGAGAGUGACGGUACGUGCAGAAGAAGCGCCGGCUAACUACGUG